rnacentral:tRNA from 1 species
GCCAGCAUGAUGUAGUGGUUUGAAUAUUGGACUAUGACUCUGAAGACCAGGGUUCGAUUCCCUGCUUGGCC